rnacentral:lncRNA from 1 species
GUACGGAUUUAGUAAAUAUCAGAUUACAGAUCAAGCGAUAGCGUACCGUUGAUCGUUCUGUCUCCCCUUCUUUUGGGAAUAGGGGUCUCCUUAUAUAAGCCUUGGGAGGUGUGCUUAUUUUGGAAUCUCCGAUGUGGGACUGUAGGAGUGGAUUGUGGGCAUGACACGUGUCCAAGAGCAAAAGCACCAGGAUGCAUAUGAUUCGGUAGGGUCCUUGCCGAAGGGCUUGCAGUGUUAAAUGUUGACUCCGUCCACGUGUCAGGUGGUCAUUGGUCGUUAAUAUGCGGUAUAAACAGUAGUCCCCCAAGUUCUCUUCCGAAGGUUCUUCGGAAGGGAAUUUGGUUCUCCCCUGAAGGUUCGUAGCUGUCCUGCCGUUCGGCAAGUUCGCUUGGGGAAGGUUCCCCUGGGAUCCGAUGGGUCGCCGAUGCUCAGAGGAGAGAGGGCAGAGACGCCUCGUUUCCCG